rnacentral:lncRNA from 1 species
AGUUUCGGCGUUUUUUCCAGAGAGGCAGGCUCACAGCGAUAUCGCGAGAGACGGGAAUUGCUCUGUCACGCAAGCUGGAGUGCAGUGGUGCCAUCUCGGCUCACUGUGACCUCUGCCUCCUGGGCUCAAGCCAUCCUCCCACCUCAGCCCUUCAAGUAGCUGGGAUUACAGGUCACCAUCCUCUCACUCGCCUCUGACUUUUCGCACAGGAGAGAGCUGGUCGAAUAGUACAAUUCCCCGAUGUGAAUGGGGAGAAGCUGGGGAAAGGAAGAAUGAUCUUCAGGCAGUAAGGAUGUUUAAUAAAGUUUAAGUGCUUAAUAAAAGAAGUGGUGGAAGACCUCAAUUCAUCUGAGAGCAGAAUCUGCCUAGAAGAGUUGGAACUUCUCCACCCUGCUCCAUCCUCUGUACCUGACCUGUGUGUUCUGGGCUCCCCACGGCCAAGGAGCAUCAAUGGGCUAACAGAGUGUAAUGGGCUGAAUUGUGUUGGCCCCAAACUCAAAUUUUGAAGUCCCACCCCUCCCUCAUUCUAUGGCCUUGUUUGGAAAUGGGGUUGUUGCGAUGUAAUUAGUUGAGAUAAGGUCUUAUUAUAUUUGGGUAGGCCCCUACUCCAGUAUGAUUGGUGUCCUUAUAAAAAGGAGAAAUUGGACACAGACACCCUACCAAGAAGAACACUAUGUGAAGAUGAAGGCAGAGAUCAGGGUGAUGCCUCUACUUGCUGAGAAACUCCUACAGUUGCCAGCCCACCACUAGAAGCAAAGGAAGAAGCACAGCCCUCAGAAGGAACCAACCCUGCUAAUGCCUUGGUCUUGGACUUGCAGCCUCCAGAACAGCGAGCCAAUACAUUCCUGUGGUUUAAGCCACUGACUGUGGCACUUUAUUACAGCAGCACUAGGAAACUCAUACAGGAGGUGACAGUGCUCAGAUGAAACAGGACCUUCCACUUCCAUGGCAAAGCCCUCAUCUUUCGUGCCCAUGCGCCAUUUGAUCUGCACACAAAUCACUGAGCAGGUUCCUCAGCUAUUAUUAUCCCCACCUUUCAGAUGGAAAGAACUGAAGCUCAAGAGGGCCAAAGAAAUUUGGCUAUGGCUUUCUUUAUUUUCUUUUUCAUGGGCAGAAGUAGAUUUCAGUUUUGGUCCCUUUCCACUACCAUAUCAGGUUGCCUUAAGGCAACUUUGAAAAGUCUAAAAUAUUAAACAGUUUGUGAAGUUAUUAUCAUUAUUCAUAAAGGACAGCGCGAGGUUAGUCUUACCCUAGAGAGCCCCAUUGUUGGCCCAAAGCAUCUUGCCAGGAGCCCUAUAGGACCAUGUUUUCAAGGCCCCCAAAGAGCACAGGGCUAUUGGUCCAUCCCAGCUCCUGGAAUGGCUCAUUGUACCCACCCUGCCUCCAGCUGAGGAGCCAGGGAGAAGCACUGACCCCUGAUCUUGCUAUCCCUUCCAUUACACUCUUGCCAGAGGAGCUUUUUUCAGGGGUGGCCGCUUCCCUCUCCUCAAGAGAAUUCUGGGGACCAACCAGCUCAGGCCUGCUGUUGGCCUCAGGGUCACAUCUCACCCAGACACCCCCACCAUUCCCUCAGGUCUAGGGAUGCUGCUCCCCUACCAUGGGAUCUUCUUUUUAUUUUUAUUUAUUUAUAUUUUCCUUAUGCCUAGUGUAAAGGGAUUUCUUUUCUUUUUUGUUUUUGUUUUUUUUUUGAGAUGGAGUCUUGCUCUGUCACCCAGGCUGGAGUGCAGUGCAGUGGCGCUAUCUCGGCUCACUGCAACCUCCACCUCCUGGGUUCAAGUGAUUCUCCUGCCUCAGCCUCCCAGGAGCUGGGAUUACAGGUGUGCCACCACAUUUGGCUAAUUUUUUUACUUUUAGUAGAGAUGGGGUUUCACCAUGUUGGCCAGGCUAGUCUCGAUCUCCUGACCUCAGGUGAUCCACCCGCCUCAGCCUCCCAGAAUGCUGGGAUUACAGGCAUGAGCCACCGCUCCCAGCCAGGAUCUUCUUUUUAAAGCUAUCACCACCCACUCUCAUUCCCCAGGACUCUCCUCACCCCUCCGGCUGCAAAGGCAGCUGGUGUCCCUACUGGCUCCUUCCUUUCUGCCCCUAAAGACAGGCACACAGGUGAUUUUCCUUUUAAGUGUUUUUCUGUGGAUUACUGCGGGGAAAUUGACAGGGGCUACAGGGGCUGAUAAAAGGAAUAAUCUUUGAUAUUCUUUCAGUUGGGUCGCUGAUUUUCUUGCUGGGCUGACAAGAGCAAUCUUCCCUACUUGGAAUCUUGGUUUUAUUCCUUAGCAUGGGCCUUAUCAAACCUACUUUUUAAUGAAGGGAGAAUGAAGAAGCCAUUGAAGCAGACCUCUAGCUGCCAGUCAGGUCUGCUCUGAAGGCUGCCUAUCUGCGGGGACAUGUGACUUCUGGGGCUUUCCAGAUUAAGUAAUGCUCACCCCACAUGUCUGAAAUUCUCCAAACACUAUUCCGGCCCUGCUGUGAUUCUUAGAGCAGAGGUUCUUUGCCUUUUUAGUGUAAUGGAUCCCUCAGCAACUUGGUGAGCCCUUCUCAGAAUAAAGUUUCUAAUGCAGAAAGUAAAACACAUGGGAUAAUAAGGGAAGUCAUGUCCUUUGAAAUCCUUAUCAAAAAUAUUUUUCAAAUUUUGUGAUAUAAUAAGUUUGGUUGCUAUUAUAUAGCAUAAUAUAACUUCAUAUCUAAUAGCUAUUGUUAUUUUGAAGUAGUGGUGAAUAUAUAUGCUAUUUUGAGAUGUCUAAAACAACUGUAAUGUGUUACAAAAAUAUCCAUGAUUUCUAUCGGUGACAAAGUCAAAAGUAUCGUGAAUACGUCUGUGAUUUGCAAGCUACAUCCAAAAUGGAAGGAAAUCCUAAUGUUUGGUUAGUGAUUGAUAAAAAUAAAGAUGUGGGCGGGCGCGGUGGCUCACGCCUGUAAUCCCAGCACUUUGGGAAGCCAAGGCGGGCAGAUCAUGAAGUCAGGAGAUCAAGAUCAUCCUGGCCAGCAUGGUGAAACGCCGUCUCUACUAAAAAUAAAAAAAUUAGCUGGGCAUGGUGGCGUGUGUCUGUAGUCCCAGCUACUUGGGAGGCUGAGACAGGAGAAUCACUUGAACCCAGGAGGCG